GAUGAACGCUGGCGGCGUGCUUAAUACAUGCAAGUCGAGCGAACGGACGAGAAGCUUGCUUCUCUGAUGUUAGCGGCGGACGGGUGAGUAACACGUGGAUAACCUACCUAUAAGACUGGGGUAACUUCGGGAAACCGUAGCUAAUACCGGAUAAUAUUUUGAACCGCAUGGUUCAAAAGUGAAAGACGGUCUUGCUGUCACUUAUAGAUGGAUCCGCGCUGCAUUAGCUAGUUGGUAAGGUAACGGCUUACCAAGGCAACGAUGCAUAGCCGACCUGAGAGGGUGAUCGGCCACACUGGAACUGAGACACGGUCCAGACUCCUACGGGAGGCAGCAGUAGGGAAUCUUCCGCAAUGGGCGAAAGCCUGACGGAGCAACGCCGCGUGAGUGAUGAAGGUCUUCGGAUCGUAAAACUCUGUUAUUAGGGAAGAACAUAUGUGUAAGUAACUGUGCACAUCUUGACGGUACCUAAUCAGAAAGCCACGGCUAACUACGUG
rnacentral:rRNA from 1 species